ensembl:snRNA U1 U1 spliceosomal RNA
AUACUUACCUGGCAGGGGAGAUACCGUGAUCACGAAGGUGAUUUUCUGAGGGUGAGACUUAUCCAUUGCACUCUGGGUGUGCUGACCCCUGUGUUUUCCCCAAACGUGGGAAACUGGACUGCAUAAUUUAUGAUAGUGGGGGACUGUGUUCACACUUCCCCCUG